GACGAACGCUGGCGGCGUGCCUAAUACAUGCGAGUUGAGCGCUGAAGGUUGGUACUUGUACCAACUGGAUGAGCAGCGAACGGGUGAGUAACGCGUGGGGAAUCUGCCUUUGAGCGGGGGACAACAUUUGGAAACGAAUGCUAAUACCGCAUAAAAACUUUAAACACAAGUUUUAAGUUUGAAAGAUGCAAUUGCAUCACUCAAAGUUGAUCCCGCGUUGUAUUAGCUAGUUGGUGAGGUAAAGGCUCACCAAGGCGAUGAUACAUAGCCGACCUGAGAGGGUGAUCGGCCACAUUGGGACUGAGACACGGCCCAAACUCCUACGGGAGGCAGCAGUAGGGAAUCUUCGGCAAUGGACGAAAGUCUGACCGAGCAACGCCGCGUGAGUGAAGAAGGUUUUCGGAUCGUAAAACUCUGUUGGUAGAGAAGAACGUUGGUGAGAGUGGAAAGCUCAUCAAGUGACGGUAACUACCCAGAAAGGGACGGCUAACUACGUG
rnacentral:rRNA from 1 species